rnacentral:lncRNA from 1 species
GUCUCUCUCUUUAGCCUAGCUCUCUGUCUCUCCGACAUAGUCAUCUUCCUCCCUCAGCCAUCCAAGCUUAACUCCACAGUUCACAUCCACGAGGUACUGUUCACGUUCCUUUUCUUAGAAAUUUGGGGUUUUUGUGAAUUUGGUUUAUGAUGUAUGGAUUUGUAUGAAAUUGGUUUAGGGGUUUCUUCCAAAUUGGUUUGAUAGGAAGGUGAUGUUGUUGUUGCUGUCGCUGACAGACUAUUUUUCCUGGGUUGUGGUUGGUGGGUGUUACUGCGAAUGCUUACAAGGUUGCUGAUUCUCC